CCUACGGGAGGCAGCAGUGAGGAAUAUUGGUCAAUGGGCGCGAGCCUGAACCAGCCAAGUCGCGUGAAGGAUGACUGCCCUACGGGUUGUAAACUUCUUUUAUACAGGAAUAAAGUGAGGCCCGUGUGCCUUUUUGUAUGUCCUUUAUGAAUAAGGAUCGGGUAACUCCGUGCCAGCGGCCGCGGUAAUACGGAGGAUCCGAGCGUUAUCCGGAUUUAUUGGGUUUAAAGGGAGAGUAGAUGGGUUGUUAAGUCAGUGGUGAAAGUUUUCGGCUCAACCGUAAAAUUGCAAUUGAUACUGGCAGCAUUGAGUACAGUUGAGGUAAGCGGAAUGCGUGGUGUAGCGGUGAAAUGCUUAGAUAUCACGAAGAACUCCGAUUGCGAAGGCAGCUUACUAAACUGCCACUGACAUUGAUGCUCGAAAGUGUGGGUAUCAAACAGGAUUAGAUACCCCAGUAGUC
rnacentral:rRNA from 1 species